ACCUGCUCCUGAAGGACAUCCCAAACAUUUUCUACCGGCGCUCCCUGGACCUGACCUCAGUAAUUUACAAGAGGUGCAUGCAGUGGCUCAGACGGUGGAGAGCAAGAUGGGAUAUUUGGGUCAGACGAGAAUCAACCCGGGACGUGCGGCACAGGGACAAAAAACC